AAAGAACCGCGGCCCCGUGCUGUUGGCAGCCGGGCAGUAAUUAUAAUUAAAACAUCCCCAGGAAUUAAUAAGGGAGCAGCUGCCCGGGAGAUGCUCGGUGGCCCGGGCCGGGGGCGGCGGGCACGGCUCGGCCCGGCUGCGGUCAGAGCAGGGAGCCGCGGGACCUACCUGGGUUUAUUUUAUACUCACCCCUCUUUAAAAAUAAAUAAAUAAAAGAAAAAAAAGAAAGGAGACAGAAAGAAAGAAUCCGUUUGGGGGAAAUACUCGGCUGCUUUUUGGUGGGUUGCUUUUUGCGUGUGGAAAGCGAAUCGCUUCGGACGUGGAAGGAGAAGCCGGAUUUUUAGAAAGCUCGCUUGCUUCUCGCUCUGCCUUUUAACUUUUUUUUUUUUUUUCCUCGCUUUGUUUCCCUUUCCUCCCUGGCACCUCCGGCCUAAGGCGCCCCGAGCGCGCUCCGCAGCUGAGCAGCGCGGGGGGCACUCGCCCUCCCCGGCCCCUCUCCCCCCGAGCCCGGCCCAGCUCCCGUCGCCUAUCCCGGCCCUUCCCGGGCCAACCAGCCCGGCCCGGGACAAGCCGGCUCCGCCGCCCCCUCCGUGCCCUGCAGCCGGCGGAGGAGCCGCCGCCCGCCCGCCGCUUGCGACCACCCCCCCGGGGGCAGGAGGGGCCGAGGGGCUCCGCCGUGUCCCCCCCCCGAGGUGACCCCGGUGUGGGGUGCGGGACACCCGCGGAGGGAAGGGUGCGGGGUGUGUGUGGGGGGCAUGCCGGGUCCCCCUUCCCCAGCAUCCCGCACCCCCCACCCCGCCGGGCUGCUCUGGGGGUCCCCGGGGGGGGGGGACACGGCGAGUGCAGGGGGGGGCAGCGGUACGGGAGGGAGCCCCGCGUCUCUCCGGCCAGACGUGCUCCGCAGCGAGGAAAGGGAGUUUAUUAUUAUUAUUACCGUCAUCAUCAUUAUUAUUAUUAUUAUUUAAAAAACACACAAAAAAAGUUCAUUUCCUGGCGAAUUUGGCAGCGGCGGGUGACGUCAGAGCCCCGGCGUCGUAGUGACUGGGGCGGCCGGGCCGGGGGGAGGCCGGCUGCGGCUCCCAGCCCCCGACCCCAGCGCUGCCCCCAUGCCGGGGGGGGGUCGGCCCUAGGAGCCCCCCCCCGGGCACCCCCCGCGGGGCCCGGCACCGCCCGGCCGGCACCGAGCGGCUCCCGGCCCGGCCGCCCCGUCGGGCAGGGGCUGUGCUCCCAGCCGCCCCCCCCCGCAAAACGGGGGGGUCCUGGCCCUGCAGCCCCCCCCCGCCCCGGCUCGGAGGUUUUGGGGGCUGCAGCGAACGCUCCCGUUUUCCCCAAAAAGCAGAGGUUUGAGGAACGGGAGGGGAGCCCCCGGGAAACAGGACCCGCAGCAGCGCCCAUGGCGCUGCGGGGGUUCGCUUGUGACUUUCCCUUUUUUUUAUUUGUUGGUGGAUUUCUUUUUUUUUUUAUUAUUUUUUUUNNNNNNNN
rnacentral:lncRNA from 1 species